rnacentral:Y_RNA from 1 species
GGCUGGUCCGAGUGCGGUGGUGUUUACAACUAAGUGAUCGCAGCCAAUUACAGAGUCCUUUGUUCCUGCUCCACUCCCACUGCUUCUCUUGACCAGCCUUAA